rnacentral:lncRNA from 1 species
AUGAGAGAUGCCGGAGCUCUUCCCACCAUCUGCACCCCCAGAGCCGAAUUCCGUAGGGAAAGGCGAGACGGAAACGUGGGAAUGUGUGGAAUGGGAUGGGGUUACUUGCUCCGAAUAUUUCAUGGAAUUUUGGGGUUUGGGAAAUGUGGGAAUGCGGGAAUCCAGCUGGUGGCUGAUGGGAAAACGAAGGAAAAGCGGAAUUGCCUGGAAAUACGGGAUUGGGAAUUUCUCCUUUGGUGUUUUUUAAUGUCAGAAAAUUCCAGAGGGUUUUGUCCACCGGGUGAAUCCAAGGAAAACCUUGCCUGGGAAUGUGGGAGAAUUGAGCUCCAGUGGCUGCGCUUCCAUGGACACGGGAAAAUCAAAUUUUUCCUGUUUGAAUUUCAAUCCCACGGAGCGAAAUCCCGACAAAUCCUCUUCCCUCAAAAACCUGGGAGCUGGGGCAGAAAUAACCUGGGAAUGCACGGGGGAGAUUCCUUUUGUGAGGAUUGGAAGAAUUCCUUGGUUGUUUUGAGGGAUUUUGGUGCUCAGGAAUUUGGGAUCUUUCCUGAUUUAUGGCCAGGGGAAAGGGAUGGAAUUCUGCUUGCGGGGCCCUGCUCCAUGGAUUCCUCAGAUCCCAGAAUCCUGGAAUAUCAGAGCUGGGAGGGCUCACUGAUCCAACCCCCAACAAUCCCGGCGUUCCUGGAGCUCCGGCAGCCUUGGGAAUGUGGCCAUUCCCGGAUUUCCUGCUCCUGGGCUCGCUCUGGCUCUCUCCAACGUUUCCUUGUGUUGGAAGAGCUGGAAAAUUCCUCCAGGCUGGAGAUCCCAGCUCUGGAAUGGGAACAAACAGCGGCAGCUUCCGGGCGGCCUCCACCAGGCUCUUCCAAAGGGGAGAAAUCCUGGAAUCUCCUUUUUCCAGGAGAAAUCCCGGAGGUUUGGGAAUGGGAGGCGCCAGGCCUGGCUGGGAAGGAGGAAUUUGGGAAGUUGGUGAGCAAAGGAAUGGGAGGAGGAUUUGGGGCUUCCAACGUUCGGGAAAAGGAGAUAAUUCCCAAUGUUUUGGUUCUUCCAGAGGAUCUGUGGCUGCUCCAUCCCUGGAAGUGUCCGAGGCCGGGUUGGAAGGGGCUUGGAGCAGCCUGGGACAGCGGGAGCCGUCCCUGCCCAUGGAUUAACCUCACUUCCCAAACCAUCCCACAGUUCUGUGAUAUCCCAGGAAGAUUUUGA